ACCCUCUAAUCCAAUUUCUCGAUCGACAAUUUGCAGAUCGCCUUCGACCUCGACUCUCUGACGUCUUAUCUUCCUCUCGCCAUCUGAAACGGUCCGAGUAAUGGCGUCGUGUUCCUAUUGCUUCUUUGAUUUGUUUUUACAUUGUAUUUGAGGGGCAUGAGAGUUUCUGGGAGCUAUAGAUAGUGAGAGACGAGAGAAUGAAUGGUGGUGAUGAGGUCGGAGCUUAAAUUGGAGAUUCCCUCGGGCUUUUUGGUGAAGGCAGUGCUGGCGAAGAAGUUCAAGAAGGUCCAGAAGAAGCACAAAUAUGAUGAUUUGAAACCCAAUAGACCAUAAAAAGAAGGAUGAGGAAGAUAGAAAGAAGACAUGGAGAAAUCAAAGAAAUCACUUUUUAUAAAAGUCUAUAGUGCAUGGAGUUAUGUCAGAUGAUGUUGCUCGGAUAUUGAAUCGUCCUCACCACUACUCAGUUGUGGGCUUACAUGGCUUAUCUCAGCCGAGAAUAUAGGAAAAGCUUUGUUAGAUGAUACUGGCCCAUCCCGAAAAGUAUGGAGAGUGAGACAGUAGUUGAAGUUUAAGAACUGCAGAACCCAUAUGACGUAGUGAUUGUGGUUCAUCAUUUGUAUUGGUGCAUCGAAAUCCUCCAUCUCUGAUCUCACUAGCUGUUUUCUAUUGGUUAUCGAGAUGGCAAAAGGAGAAUCUCCCCUAGCUGUCCUUCAUCCUAUGAGAGUGCUUUUUAUCAUUCCUCAGAAAAUCCUCCUCAGUUAGAUGAAAACUUUUCCCGUCCAGUGGAGUUUGUUUCAUUAUGCUUUACAAAAGUCCCUGCUGAGGAGGAUGAUAAAGCUGAGGUUCUGGAGGAUGAGAUGGUUAUGAAAGAGCAUGAGGUAGAGAAGAAUUAGAAAUUGCAACCGGAGUUUGAAAAACAGAAGGAGAGGAAGCAGAAAGCUUUGAAGGAGAAAGUGAUGGAUAAUGCUGUGUACAAUUAGUCCACCACUGUUUUGCUAAAUUUGGUUAUUUUACUAACCAAAAAAACUAAGUUUCUUACCCAAUGAAAACUGCUGCAAUCUCUUACAGUCA